GAGCCCUGUGGAUAGAAGGCUGCCUAGAGAGCUGCCUGUGGGCUCCAUCCAGAGUGGAGAGCCCUGUGGGCUCCAUCCAGAGUGGAGAGCCCUGUGGGCUCCAUCCAGAGUGGAGAGCCCUGUGGAUAGAAGGCUGCCUGUGGAGUAGGCCUAGUGGGAGGAUCACAGGUGUAAUAAAGAAUUGAUGUUGGUAUGUAAAGCUCUGUUAAUAUGUUAACCACUUCUAUGUUUAUAUUCUGCUUCUGUUGGUUUAUAUAGUAGGCUACUUGUAAAGGCUCACAGUUAUACACCUAUAUAAUUAUUUUCUCAUUAAAAAGAAAAUCUGUCAUUUUGUGACUAUUGAUUUAUUAUUGAUUAAGCAGCUGAUUGGUUUUCCUGUGUGAGUUAUUGUAUAGUCCUUUUAUUAUACCUAUUCAAAUAUGGUCACCGUUUAUACACACACACGCACACACACACGCACACACACACACUGAUUCCCGUUAUCUGUUAUAGGCCUAAUCUGUGCCAGCUACUGUAGGCCUUGGUUACAAUAACCAACCUUGAUGCACUUUAGAAGGUCGUGCACAAUAUGUGCUUCUUCUUAAUAACGUGGCCUACACAGCCUAUUUUAUCACAAAACAAAUUAAAUUGAUGCCUUUCGACCUCAAAAAAUAUAUUUUUAAUAAAUAUCAAUGAAUACCAAUGAAUAGACCAGAGAUUGUAUUCAUUAAGGUGGAUAUUUGACUCACUCAUGCAGUAAGGUAAAGAUUUGUUAUCGGAGCUAACGUUAAAGCAACAUGUGCGUAAUUUCAAUAGGCUACACGUCGGUUUAAUAUUUACCAUGACACAAUAGCUUAUAUCAGGAGGGAUAACUAAUGUUUUUACAAAAUACAUGUACAAAUAAAUGAUUGAACCCCCCCCCCAAAAAAAAUACUUGAAUAGGGUUAUACACUAAUGUGGAUGUUUGGCUCAUGAAGUAGCAAUGUUCAUUUCGUUUAACGUAAAUAGUGACUAAAAUAUUCGUCAAACACCUACUUUUCAGCGGCAAUUGAUGAGACUAUAACUGACUAAAUAGACCCAGACAAAUCUAUAAACUAAACCAAAAUGUUUUAUUUUUAUUUUAGUUGACUAAAAUGAGAAGAGACAAAAUUUCCUCUGUGACUAAAAUCGAACUACUAAAUGGACUGGACUAAGAGUUUUUUGUUGUUGAGAGAUUUAAGAGCUUUUCAGUGAUAAGCACGACGACUAUUAGCAGCAAAGAUGCGUUCAGCAGUGGGAAGGAUACACCACACCUGGAAAAAACAGCCUACAUCAGCUGGUGAGCUGCAGGGGGGGAGAAAGCGAUGAGUGUGGGCAAACAGGUUGCUCCAGUUAUUCACAUUGAACAGGUGACUCUCUUGCUUCGCCUUAGCUAACCAGUCUCCAUCAUCCUUCUUAGUAGCUACCCUUUGCCUGGUUAAAAAACACAAGCUGCCUUAUGAAAUAAAAAACAAUAAAAAACAAUAGCAGCAUUGAGUUUAAUAGGAAUUACAACAGUCUGUUUUUCUCUCCCUUGAGUAUAGAAAAGUGGGCGGUCUUUGAAUUUGUAGUCUGGCUUAACCCCUCCCACUUCAUUUCAUAUACAGGCCUGUAGCGUCAGAGAAAACGGCUUGAUUCUCAGGCUAACUUCAGGCUAACUUCAGGCUAACUUCAGGCUAACGUUAGGCUAACGUUAGGCUAACUUUAGGCUAACUUUAGGCUAACUUUAGGCUAACGUUAGGCUAACUUUAGGUUAACUUUAGGCUAACUUUAGGCUAACUUUCAAUAUGAUCCAUAAUACCAGCACUACUUUUUGGUUUCUUUCUAUUGUGCAUUGGCAGGCAACAUUUUACAUUCAUAAAGGAUAUCGAGGGCCGUUGUAAAACUAGGCUAUCUGCGGGACGGACCAUUAAAGAUUUGUUCAGGCUACACUUUGUUCCGUUAUGGUGCCCCAUUAGCUAGGAAACAACUUGGGGCACGUUCAGCAAGACGCAAGAUGUGUUGGAACGUUCAGAUAGAAAUAUGCUAUGUAGAACAAACAUACUUCUCUGACAUGUUGAAUAAGGAAUAGCGUAGGCUCUAUUCAUGGCGUUUCUAUAUUGUAACGACCCUGGGUUUAUAAGCGCGGAAAUCGACUCUGAGCAUGCUUUUGCGGCACAGUCGAUAGCGCGCCGGACUUCGGGCUUGAAGGUCGAGGGUUCGAGACCUGCUCCCUCCCUGCUGUUUCAUUAAAAAUUAAAAAUUACAAUCUGUUACGUUGGAGACUGAACCUGAUUCUGCUAAACAUUACCAGUAGCCAAAACAUUGUUUAGAAUUAGCUUUGUCUUCUGUUAUGAAAAGAAGUUUAAUAAAUCAUUAUUAUUGCCAUCGUAUUGGGAGAGGUCAGCGACCAGCCGGAGGAAGACGACACGACAGCAUCCUCCUCAGGGGACAGGUACUCAGUGUGGAGCCAAUUAGUACACACCUGGGCCCACUAAUUGCUUUGUGUCUUCCUCUAUAUACACUACCGUUCAAAAGUUUGGGGUCACUUAGAAAUGUCCUUGUUUUUUGAAAGAAAAGCUGAACAUUUUUUUUUUUUAAAUGGUGCAUUAAAAUAACAUCAAAUUGAUCAGAAAUACAGUGUAGGUCAUUGUUUAAAUGGUCGUCUGAAAUCAGAGUGGAGCUAAGGGGUGAGGUGCUGACUACUAAAACCUCUGUUAGCUACUUGGGAUGCAUCCUUGAUGGAAGCUUGGGAGGUGUGAGCAUGGCCAAUAAGGUGCUAGAAAGUUCCAAGCUGCUUGAUAAGGACUCCAUGAAAGUGCUAGCUGCUGCCCUCAUUCAAUGCCAUUUUGACUAUGCUAGUACUUCCUGGUUCGGGGACUUAUCUAAACUUAUGAAGGGGAAGCUCCAGAUAGCCCAGAAUAAGCUGAUCAGGGUAGUAUUGAAGGUGAGUCCACGUACUCACAUAGGCAGGAGCUGCUUUCAGGAACUAAACUGGCUGCCUGUUGAGGCUAGGGUGUCCCAGAAUAGACUAGGUUUGGUUUACAAGGGUAUUUAUGGUCCUGCGCCCAGAUAUCCAAGUUUACUUUCCUCGUGUUACUGGAUGCACACAAUCACAGCACCAGAUCAGGUGUUGCUGAUGUGUGCUCAUACAGGUUCAGGAGUAAUUCUGGGAAAGGUACUUUCUUGUAAACUGGAGCCUCAGAAUGGAAUGAGUUGCCUCUGCCCUAUAAAAACAACAUCCUCCAUGGACAGCUUUAAAAAAUAAAGUAAAAAUAUGUUUUGAUGUGUUCUGUGCCCAUGUGAAUAACCCCUAUGAUGUAACUGGAAUGAUGAGAUAGAUGUUCUUCUUCUUCUCUGUUUUCUGUUUUAUUAUUUCGCUGCCGUACUGUGUUCCAUCUUGUCCAGCCAUCUUGUCUCAAGACAGGAUCACAAUGGAAAUCAGUCCCAGACUUUAUUAUGUUUUAUCCUCCAUGAUUUUAUUCAUGUGCAUGUAUGGCUUUUUCAAGUUUUAUGUGUGCUUGUUUUUUUUUUAAAUG
rnacentral:lncRNA from 1 species